GAUGAACGCUGGCGGCGUGCCUAAUACAUGCAAGUCGAGCGAACAGACGAGGAGCUUGCUCCUCUGACGUUAGCGGCGGACGGGUGAGUAACACGUGGAUAACCUACCUAUAAGACUGGGAUAACUUCGGGAAACCGGAGCUAAUACCGGAUAAUAUAUUGAACCGCAUGGUUCAAUAGUGAAAGACGGUUUUGCUGCCACUUAUAGAUGGAUCCGCGCCGCAUUAGCUAGUUGGUAAGGUAACGGCUUACCAAGGCAACGAUGCGUAGCCGACCUGAGAGGGUGAUCGGCCACACUGGAACUGAGACACGGUCCAGACUCCUACGGGAGGCAGCAGUAGGGAAUCUUCCGCAAUGGGCGAAAGCUUGACGGAGCAACGCCGCGUGAGUGAUGAAGGUCUUCGGAUCGUAAAACUCUGUUAUUAGGGAAGAACAAAUGUGUAAGUAACUAUGCACGUCUUGACGGUACCUAAUCAGAAAGACACGGCUAACUACGUG
rnacentral:rRNA from 1 species